GUAGGGGGCGAGCGUUGUCCGGAAUCAUUGGGCGUAAAGAGCUCGUAGGCGGUUCAGCAAGUCGGCUGUGAAAUUCCGAGGCUCAACCUCGGAACUGCAGUCGAUACUGCUGUGACUCGAGUCCGGUAGAGGAGAAUGGAAUUCCCGGUGUAGCGGUGAAAUGCGCAGAUAUCGGGAGGAACACCAGUAGCGAAGGCGGUUCUCUGGGCCGGUACUGACGCUGAGGAGCGAAAGCGUGGGGAGCAAACAGGAUUAGAUACCCUGGUAGUCCACGCUGUAAACGUUGGACACUAGGUGUGGCGGUCUGAUCAACGACUGCCGUGCCGAAGCUAACGCAUUAAGUGUCCCGCCUGGGGAGUACGGCCGCAAGGCUAAA
rnacentral:rRNA from 1 species